UUGACAGCCCCAAACACUGAAGUACUCUAUUAAACCACAGUACAAGUACAUCACCAGCACUGGCUGAGCACAUCUUUUCCACACUGUCUCAGUAAUAAGCAUCAACUGCACUUCUUUGGAGACUGUGGGGUGCUCUUUUUGCAUCCUUCCCAUUCAGCUCUUAGAUUUC
rnacentral:sRNA from 1 species